CAGGUCGAACGGGACUGUGCUGGAAGAAGUUUUCGGAUGGAUUUCGGCAUUGUUUAGUGGCGGACGGGUGAGUAACACGUGAGCAACCUACCUUCUAGAGUGGAAUAACGGCUGGAAACGGUCGCUAAUACCGCAUAACGCAUCGGGGGGACAUCCCCUUGGUGCCAAAGAUUUAUCGCUGGGAGAUGGGCUCGCGUCCGAUUAGGUAGUUGGUGGGGUAACGGCCCACCAAGCCGACGAUCGGUAGCCGGACUGAGAGGUUGAACGGCCACAUUGGGACUGAGACACGGCCCAGACUCCUACGGGAGGCAGCAGUGGGGGAUAUUGCACAAUGGGGGAAACCCUGAUGCAGCGACGCCGCGUGUGGGAAGACGGUCCUCUGGAUUGUAAACCACUGUCCCCAGGGACGAAAAUGACGGUACCUGGGGAGGAAGCUCCGGCUAACUACGUGCCAGCAGCCGCGGUAAUACGUAGGGAGCGAGCGUUGUCCGGAAUUACUGGGUGUAAAGGGAGCGUAGGCGGGGGUACAAGUUGGGUGUUAAAUCUACCGGCUCAACUGGUAGUCGCACUCAAAACUGUAUCUCUUGAGUGAAGUAGAGGCAGGCGGAAUUCCUAGUGUAGCGGUGAAAUGCGUAGAUAUUAGGAGGAACACCAGUGGCGAAGGCGGCCUGCUGGGCUUUUACUGACGCU
rnacentral:rRNA from 1 species